rnacentral:rRNA from 1 species
UACGUAGGGCGCAAGCGUUUGUCCGGAAUUAUUGGGCGUAAAGAGCUCGUAGGCGGUUUGUCGCGUCUGCUGUGAAAACCUCAGGCUCAACCUGGGGCUUGCAGUGGGUACGGGCAGACUAGAGUGUGGUAGGGGAUGACUGGAAUUCCUGGUGUAGCGGUGGAAUGCGCAGAUAUCAGGAGGAACACCGAUGGCGAAGGCAGGUCACUGGGCCGAACUGACGUCUGGAGAAGCGAAAGCAUGGGGAGCGAACAGG